rnacentral:rRNA from 1 species
GGAGCAUGUGGUUUAAUUCGAUGCAACGCGAAGAACCUUACCUACUCUUGACAUCCAGAGAACUUAGCAGAGAUGCUUUGGUGCCUUCGGGAACUCUGAGACAGGUGCUGCAUGGCUGUCGUCAGCUCGUGUUGUGAAAUGUUGGGUUAAGUCCCGCAACGAGCGCAACCCUUAUCCUUUGUUGCCAGCGGUUAGGCCGGGAACUCAAAGGAGACUGCCAGUGAUAAACUGGAGGAAGGUGGGGAUGACGUCAAGUCAUCAUGGCCCUUACGAGUAGGGCUACACACGUGCUACAAUGGCAUAUACAAAGAGAAGCGACCUCGCGAGAGCAAGCGGACCUCAUAAAGUAUGUCGUAGUCCGGAUUGGAGUCUGCAACUCGACUCCAUGAAGUCGGAAUCGCUAGUAAUCGUGGAUCAGAAUGCCACGGUGAAUACGUUCCCGGGCCUUGUACACACCGCCCGUCACACCAUGGGAGUGGGUUGCAAAAGAAGUAGGUAGCUUAACCUUCGGGAGGGCGC